rfam:Capsicum annuum cultivar Zunla-1 chromosome 4, whole genome shotgun sequence
UGAUGAUGGUGAGGGCAAUUUCUGAGCUUACCCUUAAAUCUCUCCCAAGAUUGGUAAAGACUUUCUCUUUCUUUCUUCCUAAAACUUAGAAUCUCUCUUCUAAAAUA